GAUGAACGCUGGCGGCGUGCCUAAUACAUGCAAGUCGAGCGAACAGACGAGGAGCUUGCUCCUCUGACGUUAGCGGCGGACGGGUGAGUAACACGUGGAUAACCUACCUAUAAGACUGGGAUAACUUCGGGAAACCGGAGCUAAUACCGGAUAAUAUAUUGAACCGCAUGGUUCAAUAGUGAAAGACGGUUUUGCUGUCACUUAUAGAUGGAUCCGCGCCGCAUUAGCUAGUUGGUAAGGUAACGGCUUACCAAGGCAACGAUGCGUAGCCGACCUGAGAGGGUGAUCGGCCACACUGGAACUGAGACGCGGUCCAGACUCCUACGGGAGGCAGCAGUAGGGAAUCUUCCGCAAUGGGCGAAAGCUUGACGGAGCAACGCCGCGUGAGUGAUGAAGGUCUUCGGAUCGUAAAACUCUGUUAUUGGGGAAGAACAAAUGUGUAAGUAACUAUGCACGUCUUGACGGUACCUGAUCAGAAAGCCACGGCUAACUACGUG
rnacentral:rRNA from 1 species